UAAAUUUUCAGUUUACUAUCAAAUUUGCAGGAAGCAAAGUUCUGAGCUCUCCUGUUUCUCAUUAAUGGAUAUCACCUGGAAAGGGAAAUGCAGCUUCAAACUCCCAAGGGGUUUCUGAAAAUACACUUGUGAUUUUUUUUUUUUUUUGAGACAGAGUUUUGCUCUUAUUGCCCAAGCUGGAGUGCAAAGUGUAAAUGUAUGUAUGGGCUGGGGAAGACACUUUCCC
rnacentral:lncRNA from 1 species